rnacentral:rRNA from 1 species
GAUGAACGCUGGCGGCGUGCCUAAUACAUGCAAGUCGAGCGAACAGAUGAGGAGCUUGCUCCUCUGACGUUAGCGGCGGACGGGUGAGUAACACGUGGAUAACCUACCUAUAAGACUGGGAUAACUUCGGGAAACCGGAGCUAAUACCGGAUAAUAUAUUGAACCGCAUGGUUCAAUAGUGAAAGACGGUUUUGCUGUCACUUAUAGAUGGAUCCGCGCCGCAUUAGCUAGUUGGUAAGGUAACGGCUUACCAAGGCAACGAUGCGUAGCCGACCUGAGAGGGUGAUCGGCCACCCUGGAACUGAGACACGGUCCAGACUCCUACGGGAGGCAGCAGUAGGGAAUCUUCCGCAAUGGGCGAAAGCCUGACGGAGCAACGCCGCGUGAGUGAUGAAGGUCUUCGGAUCGUAAAACUCUGUUAUUAGGGAAGAACAAAUGUGUAAGUAACUAUGCACGUCUUGACGGUACCUAAUCAGAAAGCCACGGCUAACUACGG